UGAUUACGUCCCUGCCCUUUGUACACACCGCCCGUCGCUCCUGCCAAUGGGUGGAGUGGUGAGAGAAUCGUACUAGCCCUGAAGGUUGAGCUAGGAAUUCAUCUCGAGCCGUUUCAUCUAAAGGAAGGAGAAGUCGUAACAAGGUUUCCGUAGGUGAACCUGCGGAAGGAUCACUGAUACCGUAUCGAUGAUGACGCUACUAAGGUGUAGACCGAUGCCCACAUGCGAAAAGGUACCCCCCGUGGUGCCUAGUCUCCGUAACAUGGUCCCCAAACCACAGUCUGUUUUGCGCAUGGUAGAGGCUUCUAUCUUAUUAUGUUGAGCUUAGUUCUAAUGACGGAUGUCUAGGCUCCUGUAUCGAUGAAGAACGUAGCUAAAGACGAUAUAGCAUUGAUAGAUCGCUAUCUUUAAGCUGUGAAUCAUCUAGUCUUCGAACGCAACUAGCGCUCUAUUCUCCAACAGGAAUAGAGCAUGGUGGUCGGAGUGACCGGUAUAAGACAUAGAUGGCGUAUGGUAAACCAUCUUCGAUGGCCUCUCCCCGACCUCCGGUCUUGGUGGAGGUUGAAGUAUUCCUCGAUCUUCGGGGUGUCUGCCGAUACGGCCUUCCCGCGUCCUCCGUCCAUACAAGCUACCCGCUGAACUUAAGCAUAUC
rnacentral:rRNA from 1 species